UAUAUAUAUCCACUUUAAAGUUGGACGGUAAAGUGCAAAGUCCAUGCAACACAAAUUAAGGGAAAUUUAUAAUAAAUGUAUCAGGGAAGUAAAAAAAAAGUCGAGGCCAUGCCCCCUUUUCUCGUUUCUCAGCAAAACUUUUGACAUAGGUGCCAUCAUAUGUAAAAAUGAAAAUCAACAAAACGCAUUAUACAUUUGUCAGGAAAUGUGUAAAAUAGUUAAAAAAACUUAUAACCUUCCCCCCCCCCCCAAAAUAAAGUAAAUGCAGAUUUUGUCAUUAGUAAAUCUCCCUCAUGGUAUGGGGGAAUUGUUUCCUUAAAAAGUACCUGUCACCAGAUAAACUUUCCUAAACUAACUAAGGCUAGGUUCCCUAACUACUCCUAACACUCCCACCCUUAAAAAAAAUUCACAGCUUUAAAAAGCGGUGUAUGUUACCUUUAUUCUUGCUCACAUAGUGCAAUCUCCCAGCAGGAGAGAGUGGGCGUUUCCCAGCAGGCAUAACAUCACUGAAGCCUGCUGGGGGACCACUUCCGCCCUCACAUGGUUGCAGUGCUGUUAUGAAACAUAGAACCAUUUGGCCCAUCUAGUCUGCCCAAUAAUCUGAAUCCUAUCAAUAGUCCCUGGCCCUAUCUUAUAUGAAGGAUAGACUUAUGCCUAUCCCAUGCAUGUUUAAACUCCUUCACUGUAUUUGUAGCAACCACUUCUACAGGAAGGCUAUUCCAUGCAUCCACUACUCUCUAAGUAAAGUAUUACUUCCUCAUGUUACUUUAAAAUAUUUGCCCCACUAAUUUAAAACUAUGUCCUCUUAAAUCUCCUCUUCUCCUUUAUCGACUUGAUUCCCUUUAUGUAUUUAAAAGCUUCUAUCAUAUCCCCUCUGUCUCGUCUUUCUUCCAGGCUAUGUUCCUUGACUACUUGAGAGAAUAGAAGACCUUAGGCUCUGUGCAGCUUUCAUUGAGGCUCUGUGCAGCUGUCAAUCAAGCUCAGUGCAGAGAAGCACUUCCUGAGUUUGGUCUCCUGCCAGGCCGGGAGGAGACCAAACUCACUCUAUUAAUUGUGGCAGGGAACAGAACAGAGCCAUCUAGUGGCUGUCUUUUCUAUUAAAUUUUAAACAUAUUUAUGUUGAUAAUUUAGAAGCAAGUGAAUGGGAAAGUGUCUGCUAAUUACACAAGGAACACUAUAUUAAAAGUUUUAUUUGGUGACAGGUACUCUUUAAGUCAAUGAAAGGUAAGGUCAGACACAUCUGCACAUGCCGGCCAUUCAAUGACCAGGUCUGCACAAAUCGAGGCCCACUGUUUGUCCCCUUUAUGAAAUCCAUACCCCCCAUUUGACAAUAUAGGAACGUGUUGUCAUAUUUUGACAACACCUUUAGGCCCAGUUUACACAGCAGAAAAUUUGCGGAAUGUCCGUCCGGAAAACACGGCAGACAUUCCGCAAAUAGCAUGUUCCACCGGCCUCAGGACUGCUUGAAAAUGUGCCGUCUCCCUAGACAGCAAUACAUUUAUAAGCGGAUUCUGCCUAAAGAAUGUUCAUUCUUACAGAGAUAGAGCGGAAUCGUAAAUUCCGCAGCAGAAACAUCUGCUGCUGCAAUUCCACUAUGUGCACGAUUCAGCAAAACAACAGAACUCUGCUGCAUCGGAAUUUCUGAAUGGAAGUUUUCUGGCAGAAAUUCUGCCGUUUGAACAAACCCAGCUGAUAAUUUAAAGUCAUUCUUUGAUUGUUCCCAUUUUACUAAAUAUUUAUUAAGAAGGCGGAGCCAAGGAACAUACAGAAUGGCACACAGGAGCGGGUAUGAUCCUGUGUGACAUCACAGCAACACAACCCAGGGCUCAAGUCAUGCAGGAACUGAGUUCCUGCACUUUUCACAGCAGGAACACAUUAGCAGGAAUUCUGCAGGACCAGCUUUUAAGUGGAAAUCUUGGAUGAGUUCCUCCACUUUUUUUUUUUGGGACUUGACCCCUGACACAACCCAUAUACAUAUCAGAACAGGUAAGGUGCUUUAUCCAUGGAAGAGGAGAAUAACAAUUAUUUUUAAUUUAUUUUUUAUUUUAAAAUAAAACCAUUUAAUUAGUAUUGUAUCACAAACUUUGUGUAGCAUCCAGAGUUUAGCGAAAUUACUCCUUUUAUCCCCUCCAGAAAAUUGUAAUAACAUCGCAGUCUAAGCAUAUACUAUACUAUAUACAAAACUAUAUUUCUCUCAGUUUUGUUGUUAGGUUUUUGUUUUUUUCUGUCCCUAAGUGCUCCUUUAGUGCCAGACAAAGGGUAAUACGGUUGCAGAGUCUAAAUAAGUUUAAAAAAAAGUACUGCCCCCAUUAAAAUAAUAAUCCUCAUACAGUGCAGUCUAACAUAAGGAGUGGCAUGUAUUCAGUGCUGUCAGUACAGUCAUUAGACUGGUUGCUAUGGAAACACCACAUAACAACUGCAGCCUUUGUCUGGCAACAAAUGUCCCUAGCAACCAGUCUGUCCUUGUUUUCUCUGGACUGUAGUACUUAUCAGCUGCUGUAUGCUCCAGAGGAAGUUGUGUAGUCCGUUCCAGUCUGACCACAGUGCUCUCUGCUGCCACCACUGUCCAUAGCGGACCAGAGUCCAGUUCACAGCACUUCCCUAGACAUUUAUAUGAUGGCGGAGGAGAAUCUCUUUUCAGGGGAAUGAGGCUCAGUUUGACUGGAUACCUGUAUACAUCACAGCAGUUCAGGAGGGAACCUGUCACACCCUUCGAAGCAGCAGUAACAUGGAGGACAUUAAAAAACAGUACUGACCAAUAUAA